rnacentral:rRNA from 1 species
GAUGAACGCUGGCGGCGUGCCUAAUACAUGCAAGUCGAGCGAACAGACGCGGAGCUUGCUCCUCUGACGUUAGCGGCGGACGGGUGAGUAACACGUGGAUAACCUCCCUAUCCGACUUGCAUAACUUCGGGAAACCGGAGCUACUACCGCAGAAUAUAUUGAACCGCAUGCUUCAAUAGUGUAAGACGGUUUUUCUUUCGCUUAUAGAUGGAUCCGCGGCGCAUUAGCUAGUUGGUGAGGUAACGGCUUACCAAGGCAACGAUGCGUAGCCGACCUGAGAGGGUGAUCGGCCACACUGGAACUGAGACACGGUCCAGACUCCUACGGGAGGCAGCAGUAGGGAAUCUUACGGAAUGGGCGAAAGCCUGACGGAGCAACGCCGCGUGGGUGAUGAAGGUCGUCGGAUCGUAAAACUCUGUUAUUGGGGAAGAAGAAAUGUGUAAGUGACUAUGCACGUGUUGACGGUACCUAAUCAGAAAGCCACGGCUAACUACGUG